rnacentral:rRNA from 1 species
GACGAACCACACAAACGUUAUUCGGAAUUACUGGGCUUAAAGGGUGCGUAGGCGGCGCGGAAAGUUGGGUGUGAAAUCCCUCGGCUCAACCGAGGAACUGCGCCCAAAAACUACCCGUGCUCGAGGGAGAUAGAGGUGAGCGGAAUUUAGGGUGGAGCGGUGAAAUGCGUUGAUAUCCUAAGGAACACCCGUGGCGAAAGCGGCUCACUGGGUCUCUUCUGACGCUGAGGCACGAAAGCUAGGGUAGCGAACGGG